UAUAUACAAAAAGUUGUGGGUUUUGGAAACAAGCUUCCUAGAACUCUGGGCACUUUUCAUCAGUGGCUGGAUGAAAUGUUAGAAUCACUUUGCUACUUAACCAACAAAAAAGCAAGAUGGGCUGAAUAGCUACAUCCUUAUUGCAAAUAAAAUUUAACAGCCCUAAGUGAAAAGUGUUCCAAAGACGGGAAAUAUGUUCUUAAUGUUUUUAUAAGAUUGUUGGUCUACCGCAUGAUGGAGCACAUCCCACCAGAAAAACUAAAUUAAGCAAAGAAAAUCACCCCAAUCAUCAUAGACUGGAAUUUUAUUCUAGCAUUUGUUAACACAUGCUCUUUCCUUCUGUAGGUUUACUUACCAAGGGAUGUCUAUAUCUCGCCCUAAAGGUGUCAUUGGAAAAUAUCGAAUGAUCCUGCACAACGGAGACGACAUGAAUGACCCCAAUCCACAGAGGUUUAACAGGAUUGCCCAAACCAGAGAAACCAUGGACACAGAUGGCAUUAAUUCUCUCACUUACAAAGUGAUUGAAAUAGUAAAGAAUCAAUUAUUUACAAAAAUAACUGUGGAUGUUGGAAGGCCACCUAGUUAACCUCCAAGACCAUUAUAGCAAAGUUUCUCAAACAAGGAUGUGUUUUUUUCUAAACAUAAAUGGAAUACAGUGGGGAUAGUAACCAAAUAUGCCUUGACAUGCUAAUGUGCUUGAGUCAACUUUCAUGAAUGCACAUGUUCUUGUGUUUUUACCAAGCAGAAAUUGUUGUGAGUGAAUAUGCUGUUACCCUCUGCAUCUUCUCAAAGCAAUCCCUGUUUUUUCUUGAUGAAAUGUUCCAAUUCACCUUGUUUUCUUUUUUUCCUGGCAGAAUUUGUGUGAAGUUAAAAUGCCUUGAAAAACUUUUUGAUACAUUUAAUUUUACUACAUUGUAGCUUCUAGGAACUGAACUGCUCUAAAAUUGCAGCUUGGUUUAUUUGGGAGAAAUAGCUAUUUAUUAAUACUAAUACUAAUUUAUUUUCUUUCUUUCUUGGGUUCAUG
rnacentral:lncRNA from 1 species